UAUGGCCACAUCACAUUGAAACACCAGUUACUGUAUGAUCACUGAAGUUAAGCAAUGUCGAGCCAGGUCAGUACCUAGAUGAGUAACCAUUUGGCAAUACCAGGUACU
rnacentral:rRNA from 1 species